rnacentral:rRNA from 1 species
UCUUGCAAACUAAAGAUGGCGACCGGCGCACGGGUGAGUAACACGUAUCCAACCUGCCGAUAACUCGGGGAUAGCCUUUACGAAAGAAAGAUUAAUAUCCGAUGGUAUAUUAAAACCGCAUGGUUUUACUAUUAAAGAAUUUCGGUUAUCGAUGGGGAUGCGUUCCAUUAGUUUGUUGGCGGGGUAACGGCCCACCAAGACUACGAUGGAUAGGGGUUCUGAGAGGAAGGUCCCCCACAUUGGAACUGAGACACGGUCCAA